AUGGAUCCCGCUGUCCACGACAUGAUGAAGGUUAUGCUCGCAGAGAAGGCGGCCGUGAAAGCCGAGCCGGACAUGACGGAGACUACGCCGGCGGACAAGGUGGCCGCGCAAGCGUCGGCGUCGGCGUCGGCGAAGAAGAGGACUUGGGAGGAAGCCAACGGCGGGGAGGAGGUUGCGCCUCUUUCAGUGCUGUCCAGCGUGCGCUCGCCACCGCCACAGCAUUUCUCCAGCAAGCACGGCGGAGAUACCCUCAAGGCUGCACGGGUGCUGCUCGGGAGGAAGAAGAGGACUCGGCAGGAAACCAACACGCCACUGUCCAGGGUGUGCUCGCCACCACCAGGCUUCCCCAGCAGGCUGUACGGAGGCACCACGGGCCGGGACGCUGCACGUUAG
rnacentral:rRNA from 1 species